rnacentral:rRNA from 1 species
GAUGAACGCUGGCGGCGUGCCUAAUACAUGCAAGUCGAGCGAACAGACGAGGAGCUUGCUCCUCUGACGUUAGCGGCGGACGGGUGAGUAACACGUGGAUAACCUACCUAUAAGACUGGGAUAACUUCGGGAAACCGGCGCUAAUACCGGAUAAUAUAUUGAACCGCAUGGUUCAAUAGUGAAAGACGGUUUUGCUGUCACUUAUAGAUGGAUCCGCGCCGCAUUAGCUAGUUGGUAAGGUAACGGCUUACCAAGGCAACGAUGCGUAGCCGACCUGAGAGGGUGAUAGGCCACACUGGAACUGAGACACGGUCAAGACUCCUACGGGAGGCAGCAGUAGGGAAUCUUACGCAAUGGGCGAAAGCUUGACGGAGCAACGCCGCGUGAGUGAUGAAGGUCUUCGGAUCGUAAAACUCUGUUAUUAGGGAAGAACAAAUGUGUAAGUAACUAUGCACGUAUUGACGGUACCUAAUCAGAAAGCCACGGCUAACUACGUG